rnacentral:lncRNA from 1 species
GAGAAAUUUACUUCCUUCACCAGUGGCUUUCCUCCGGACACACGACAGUGAAGUUCGUCUCCAUUUCUUAAAACUUGUCCAGAAGUGUAACCGAGUAUCUGGGGCUUGUUUCCAGGGUGGAUCUAGAAAUGUCAAGAGACAGGUGAAGACUGUACCGUUAUCGGCACGAGUGACAUUCAGGACAUUCAACAUUCUGGUGUUGGAGUAUCCAGGCCAAGACAAGAAACUGCUCCAAACUGUGUUAUUAUCAGUUCUACAUUCACAAGCCAGCCUUCCUCCCUCAGGUUUGACUGUGGACCCUGGAAUGGAGUGUUUGUUAUUAUACUCGCUUGUCUAGCGUUGAUAUAAUCACACAUACACACAAAUAAAAUAUUGAAGGUCUAUCAAGGAUUGAGGUCAACAAUGUAUUUAAUUUCUGGUUUUUACAAGACUGAAGUUCUCGUGACCUGUAAGAGGUUUAGUGUUCACUAAAAGUUUCAGUUUCUGUUGUUCUACGGAUUGGCAUUUAACUCUUUGAACUGUUGUUCCACAGUACCAAAGAUUGCUUUCUUUCUUUGAAUAUUGUCUCUGUUCAUGUGUGUGUACUGUUUGACAUAAUGGAAGUGAAAUGCAAGCAGUAAUUUGCCUGGUAAAAUUAGCUAAGUUCUUUAAAUAUUAAACAAUUUCACUUUAAAGUGUGUGAAAUAUUUCAUUAUUUCAUGCACUUUUAAUAGGCUUGCUCGUACUUAUGCACACGUGCACAUGAACAAUUUUUCUACACGCCCACACAUCCACUAACCCACAUACACAGAUACAUUGCACAUACGCAUGCGCACGGACAUUCACAUUCACACACACACAAGCAACGUUCGCAUGUAUAGCACGUAUAUACAUAUAUUGUCCACAAUUUUUCGCUUUUUUUUUAAUGUUUUUUUGGAAGACGGAGCGCGUGCACUAUUCCCUACAUAGAAGAAAAACUUAGUUUCAGUUGUGAAUGCCUUAGAAACAAGAACAGGUUUACUUACUGAGGAAACUGAAAGUAAAGCAAUAAAAAUAAAAUGCACCAAACGUGAAUAUUUUUAUUUGAAAUUUAACGCAUUGCUACUACUUUAUAUCACAAUUACUUAUUCAACAUGUUUCGGUUUUCAUUUUGUUAUUGUUCAAUUGUUCAAGCCUGUUUAUUUUCCUUAUAACAUGACCAGUAAAUUACUUAUUACUACAUAAGUUAUCCGUUAUGCCAUUUAAUCUGAACAGCUUUUACUUCUUUACAUGGAGAAGUGUUGUUCCAUUUAAAAUUUGUAUUUAACAUGCGUUUAAUGCCGAGUGUUUACCCUCGUUUGUUUAUUUAAACACUUCAUCCAGUAUAUUUAUUCACAUGAGUUAACUGUAGUAAUCUGAAGAAAGCUAAUAAUAAGCAAGUAAAGAUAUAUUUUAAAAGACUCAGAAGUAAAUAUAGCUGUAUAGUGUUAACAACUGAAAUUAUUUUAAAACUUUCUGUACAUUGCUUCUUUGACAAAAAAGUAACCUUAAUAUGGUCAGUUAAUGUUUGCACAUUCAAUAAAAAAAUAGACAUUUAUAUGAUGCACAUAACAAACCCGUCAUUUUACUUGACUUAAAACAUGGUUUGGGACUUGUUAAAAGAACUCUAUUAACAUAUGGUAGAGAGAAUUGUAAAAUUAAAAAUAAAUUUAUAACAAGGAAUAAAGUAUCAUUGUUUGA